GCCCUGGUUGGGUAGCUCAGUAGGUUAGAGCGUUGUCCUGGCAACCAAGGUUGUGGGUUCGAUCCCCACCCAGGGCA